rnacentral:rRNA from 1 species
AAAGCAGGGGAUCGCAAGACCUGCACUAUUGGAGCGGCCGAUGUCUGAUUAGCUAGUUGGUGGGGUAAGGGCCUACCAAGGCGACGAUCAGUAGCUGGUCUGAGAGGACGACCAGCCACACUGGGACUGAGACACGGCCCAGACUCCUACGGGAGGCAGCAGUGGGGAAUUUUGGACAAUGGGCGCAAGCCUGAUCCAGCCAUGCCGCGUGAGUGAAGAAGGCCUUCGGGUUGUAAAGCUCUUUCGGCGGGGAAGAAACGGUCCGUGCUAAUACCACGGACUAAUGACGGUACCCACAGAAGAAGCACCGGCUAACUACGUGCCAGCAGCCGCGGUAAUACGUAGGGUGCAAGCGUUAAUCGGAAUUACUGGGCGUAAAGGGUGCGCAGGCGGCUUCUAAGUCAGAUGUGAAAGCCCCGGGCUUAACCUGGGAACUGCGUUUGAAACUACAAAGCUAGA